rnacentral:lncRNA from 1 species
UGAAAAGACAGGGUCAAAGACAAGUUUAAAUAAAGACAAGCUAGCUAAUGAAACAGAUGCAGUGAUAUGACAAACACCUAGAAGAUGGAAUCCUGUGUUCUCAAAGAAAAAGCUAGUUCCAGAAAUAAGCUACCAAUAAUAAACUAUAGAGAAUGUAUUACAAGAAAGAACAACGCUAAUACUCAACAUAGCUCAAUUGCUUCAGAUAGAAAAAGAGGAGGAAAGGGCAGAAGACAAGCGUGCCAGAGAAAAUUAAAGGGCAGAAGAGACACAAAAAUUCAUUGAUUUAUUAAAUUUAAUAAUUAAAUUAUACAAAGGACAAUUAAAUAAAGAAUAAAAAAUUA